UAUUAAAGUUGUUGCGGUUAAAAAGCUCGUAGUUGAAUCUGUGUCUCGCGCUGUCGGUUCACCGCCCGCGGUGUCAAACUGGCACGCCCGCGAGACGUCCUGCCGGUGGGACGGCGCGGCGCCCGCUUCCUCCGGGUCGCACGCCGCGCCUCCCUGCUACCUAUCCCGCCGCGGUGCUCUUGAUCGAGUGUCGAGGUGGGCCGGCACGUUUACUUUGAACAAAUUAGAGUGCUCAAAGCAGGCCCGAACGCUGCCUGAAUAUCUCGUGCAUGGAAUAAUGGAACAGGACCUCGGUUCUAUUUUGUUGGUGCUCGGAACUCGAGGUAAUGAUUAAUAGGGACAGAUGGGGGCAUUCGUAUUGCGACGUUAGAGGUGAAAUUCUUGGAUCGUCGCAAGACGGACCGCAGCGAAAGCAUUUGCCAAAAAUGUUUUCAUUAAUCAAGAACGAAAGUCAGAGGUUCGAAGGCGAUCAGAUACCGCCCUAGUUCUGACCAUAAACGAUGCCAGCUAGCGAUCCGCCGACGUUCCUCCGAUGACUCGGCGGGCCGCUUCCGGGAAACCAAAGCUUGUGGGUUCCGGGGGAAGUAUGGUUGCAAAGCUGAAACUUAAAGGAAUUGACGGAAGGGCACCACCAGGAGUGGAGCCUGCGGCUUAAUUUGACUCAACACGGGAAAGCUCACCAGGCCCGGACACCAGAAGGAUUGACAGAUUGAGAGCUCUUUCUUGAUUUGGUGGGUGGUGGUGCAUGGCCGUUCUUAGUUGGUGGAUCGAUCUGUCUGCUUAAU
rnacentral:rRNA from 1 species